rnacentral:rRNA from 1 species
CCUACGGGAGGCAGCAGUGAGGAAUAUUGGUCAAUGGACGAGAGUCUGAACCAGCCAAGUAGCGUGAAGGAUGACUGCCCUAUGGGUUGUAAACUUCUUUUAUAUGGGAAUAAAAUGUUCCACGUGUGGGAUUUUGUCUGUACCAUAUGAAUAAGGAUCGGCUAACUCCGUGCCAGCAGCCGCGGUAAUACGGAGGAUCCGAGCGUUAUCCGGAUUUAUUGGGGUUAAAGGGAGCUUAGGUGGAUUGUUAAGUCAGUUGUGAAAGUUUGCGGCUCAACCGUAAAAUUGCAGUUGAAACUGGCAGUCUUGAGUACAGUAGAGGUGGGCGGAAUUCGUGGUGUAGCGGUGAAAUGCUUAGAUAUCACGAAGAACUCCGAUUGCGAAGGCAGUUCACUGGACUUCAACUGACACUGAGGCUCGAAAGCGUGGGUAUCAAACAGGAUUAGAUACCCCAGUAGUC